rnacentral:rRNA from 1 species
UACGGAGGGUGCAAACGUUGCUCGGAAUCAUUGGGCGUAAAGCGCACGUAGGCGGACUCUUAAGUCGGUGGUGAAAUCCUGGAGCUCAACUCCAGAACUGCCUUCGAUACUGAGAGUCUUGAGUCCGGGAGAGGUGAGUGGAACUGCGAGUGUAGAGGUGAAAUUCGUAGAUAUUCGCAAGAACACCAGUGGCGAAGGCGGCUCACUGGCCCGGUACUGACGCUGAGGUGCGAAAGCGUGGGGAGCAAACAGG